rnacentral:rRNA from 1 species
UACGUAGGGACCAAGCGUUGUUCGGAUUUACUGGGCGUAAAGGGCGCGUAGGUGGCUUAACAAGUCACUUGUGAAAUCUCCGGGCUUAACUCGGAACGGCCAAGUGAAACUGUCAAGCUAGAGUGCAGAAGGGGCAAUCGGAAUUCUUGGUGUAGCGGUGAAAUGCGUAGAUAUCAAGAGGAACACCUGAGGUGAAGACGGGUUGCUGGGCUGACACUGACGCUGAGGCGCGAAAGCCAGGGGAGCAAACGGG